UGAGUUUCACUGUGGGUGUAUGUGUUGAGCUACUAGACAGGUUUAUAAAUCUGAAAAGCAGAGACACAUUGCCAUGAAUUUAUAUGGAGUGGUUUCACACAACUGUACGGAGCGAAGAAAGUGUUUCACUUUGAAGAGUUUGAUGCUGCAGCAUUGAUGACUUGAGUGACUGUGACAGCGCACGCAGCUGUGUCAACUUACACUCAGUGUGCUAACAUGGCAACCUCCACCACCCCACCACCAGCAGUUGAGCCCCGUCCUGCACAGGUGUACGCUCCUCGCCCCUGACUCCUAUCUCCAGCAGGAUAUGACAGUUCCGAGUACAACUUCUUCGGACCGGCAGACGGGGCUUAUGCCAAAGAGAGACAUUACUUUUCUGUUUUAUAUUCAUCAAAUACAUUUUAUCUUAAAUUUCA